rnacentral:lncRNA from 1 species
AUUAACUAUUGCUUAAUUAAGUCUGUGCUGAACAACUCCAUUGUGUUGAUUACAACCUCAACAACUUGAACAAAGAGCAGCAGUUUCCAUUCUGAUCUCAGCUGUUUUCUAGCUAGUAGAAGCGACAUCCUACAUGAAAAUGGCUAUUGGCUAGCUUAAAGGCAGAUAAAAACUAACCUGUCUCACAACGGACAGUCUAAUCCCAGCUCAUGUUCCCUAUUAAUGGGUGAACAAUCCAAUGCUUGGUGAAUUCUGCUUCACAAUGAUAGAAAGAGCCGACAUUGAAGGAUCAAAAAGCGAUGUCACUAUGAACAUGUGGCCACCACAAGCCAGUUAUCCCUGUGGUAACUUUUCUGACACCUCCUGCUUAAAACCCAAAAAGUCAGAAGGAUCACGAGGCCUCACUUUCACAGUCUGUAUUCAUACUGAAAAGCAAGAUCAAGCGAGCUUUUGCCCUUCUGCUCCACGAGAGGUUUCUGGCCUCCCUGAGCUCACCUUAGGACACCUACAUUAGGCUUUGACAGGUGUACCACCCCAGUCAAACUCCCCACAUGAUGCUGUCCCCGGAGCGGGUUGUGCCCGACACGUGCUGGACACUUGGCGCCAGAAGCGAGAGCCCCUCGGGGCUCACCCCCCCACUUUACCAGGUAAGUGAAAACACGAUCAGAGUAGUGGUAUUUCACCGCCAGCCGGAGCCCCGCUGCAGUCAUGUGACCACAGAACCUCCCACUUAUCCUACACAUCUCAUGUUUCUUUACAACACCAGACUAGAGACCAACUCAACAGGGUGUUCUUUCCCCAUUGAUUCUGCCAAGCCCAUUCCCUUGGCUGUGGUUUUGCUGGACAGUAGGCUGCGGGCUGACAGGGAACAUUCAUCAUCUGGAUGAAGCCAGAACACCAGGGAUGGCAUUGAGCCAGAACAUUUGGCAGUAGACAUGAAUUUCUUUAUUUGUAUUCAAAUUUACAAAGGAGCAUCAUUACAUGAUGGAAACAGACUCAUAUUUAUCAAGUGUUAAAAAGGCACUGGGCUUAAAAGCUGUCUUGGUAGGUAAGCAUGUACAAGAGGCAGGAAAACAAGAACCUUGGUUCUCACAUUGAUCACUGCCCCAAAUCUACACAACACUGAAAUAUUUGCCCAAGCAAAAGGAACAGAGAGAGAAGCAUGAUUAAUUUCGAACUGUGAAGUAUUCUGCAUCAGAAUGCUGGAUGAAAUCUCACUGCAGCUGCAAGUAAUGUGCUCCUGUAUCACUGCCAGGUUACCAUAGUCUGUCUCCAUUGUAACCCAUCUACACCAUGGGAGAAAAGACUGUGCAGUGAAUCUGCACAAAAGAGCAAAUGUUUAAAAUAAAUGUCAAUGGGAAAUCUUAACA